GACGAACGCUGGCGGCGUGCUUAACACAUGCAAGUCGAGCGGAAAGGCCCUUCGGGGUACUCGAGCGGCGAACGGGUGAGUAACACGUGAGUAACCUGCCCUGGACUUUGGGAUAACCCUCGGAAACGGGGGCUAAUACCGGAUACGACUUGGUCUCGCAUGGGAUCGGGUGGAAAGUUUUUCGGUCUGGGAUGGGCUCGCGGCCUAUCAGCUUGUUGGUGGGGUGAUGGCCUACCAAGGCGACGACGGGUAGCCGGCCUGAGAGGGCGACCGGCCACACUGGGACUGAGACACGGCCCAGACUCCUACGGGAGGCAGCAGUGGGGAAUAUUGCACAAUGGGCGGAAGCCUGAUGCAGCGACGCCGCGUGA
rnacentral:rRNA from 1 species